AUUGAACGCUGGCGGCAGGCCUAACACAUGCAAGUCGAACGAGUGGCGGACGGGUGAGUAAUGUCUGGGAAACUGCCUGAUGGAGGGGGAUAACUACUGGAAACGGUAGCUAAUACCGCAUACCAUCGGAUGUGCCCAGAUGGGAUUAGCUUGUUGGUGGGGUAACGGCUCACCAAGGCGACGAUCCCUAGCUGGUCUGAGAGGAUGACCAGCCACACUGGAACUGAGACACGGUCCAGACUCCUACGGGAGGCAGCAGUGGGGAAUAUUGCACAAUGGGCGCAAGCCUGAUGCAGCCAUGCCGCGUGUAUGAAGAAGGCCUUAGGGUUGUAAAGUACUUUCAGCCGGGAGGCGUUACCCACAGAAGAAGCACCGGCUAACUCCGUGCCAGCAGCCGCGGUAAUUC
rnacentral:rRNA from 1 species